rnacentral:rRNA from 1 species
GGACUACAGGGGUAUCUAAUCCUGUUUGCUCCCCACGCUUUCGCGCCUCAGCGUCAGUCAUGGACCAGGUCGCCGCCUUCGCCACCGGUGUUCUUCCCAAUAUCUACGAAUUUCACCUCUACACUGGGAAUUCCACGACCCUCUUCCACACUCAAGCCAUGCUGUAUCAAGCGCAGCCCCCAGGUUGAGCCCAGGAAUUUCACGCCUGACUGGCACAGCCGCCUACGCGCCCUUUACGCCCAGUCAUUCCGAGCAACGCUAGCCCCCUUCGUAUUACCGCGGCGGCUGGCAC